rnacentral:rRNA from 1 species
GCCUACGGCCAUACCACCCUGAAUGCGCUGGAGCUUGUCUGAUGUCGGAAGCUAAGCAGGGUCAGGCAUGGUUAGUAUUUGGAUGGGAGAAAUCUGAUACAAUAUAGGGU